UUCAACGCCGGAAAACUCACCGGGGGCGACAGCAAUAUGUAGGUCAAGCUAAAGACUUUACCAGAAUCGCUGAGAGGAGGUGCAUGGCCGUCGUCAGUUCGUACUGUGAAGCAUCCUGUUAAGUCAGGCAACGAGCGAGACCCGUGCCCACUGUUGCCAGCAUGUCCUUCGGGAUGAUGGGUACUCUGUGGGGACCGCCGAUGCUAAAUCGGAGGAAGGUGCGGGCUACGGUAGGUCAGUAUGCCCCGAAUCUCCCGGGCUACACGCGGGCUACAAUGACUGGGACAAUGGGCUCCUACCCCGAAAGGGGAUGGUAAUCUCAUAAACCCAGCCGUAGUUCGGAUCGAGGGCUGUAACCCGCCCUCGUGAAGCUGGAAUCCGUAGUAAUCGCGUUUCAACAUAGCGCGGUGAAUACGUCCCUGCUCCUUGCACACACCGCCCGUCAAACCACCCGAGUGAGGUAUGGGUGAGGGCAUGGACAUUGUGCUGUGUUCGAACCUAAAUUUCGCAAGGGGGGUUAAGUCGUAACAAGGUAACCAAGGGCGAAUUCCAGC
rnacentral:rRNA from 1 species